CGGGGUUGUCACUUUAAAUUAAAGAGGGAGAGCGCGGGCGAGCGGACGAGCGCGAGGGAGCGCGCGGCGGGCUCCUGGGAGCGUGCCCGGACUGCAGCGCAGCUCCUGUCCGCCACCCCGGCCCCUCGGAGCCCCCGACCCGAGCCGCGCUCUUCUGCCUGAAGCGGGCGCCGGGCGACACUGCAGGGGUGGCGUUGCUGCCGCCGGCCAGCUUUGCGCCGGUGCGUGCGCGCUGCAGGAGGCGGGCCGGGAGCCGGGCCGGGAGCCGAGAGCCAGAGCCGGAGACGGAGCUGGAGACGGAGCUGGAGACGGAGCCUGAGCCCAAGCCCGAGUCAGAGCGGGUCCCCUCGGCGAGCCCGGCUACCUGUGACUAUGGCCAAAGCCAUUUCCUGGGCCUGGGUUUUCUUAACAGUACAAGGGUCCUCAAAGCAGCAGGGAGCAACAGCAGCCCCUCAAAGGCCUGCAGGGAGGAUGCACAGAGGUAACAGGAACUCUCCUCACCUACCCACUUGGAACUCAUCUUUGAGCCAGACUGACUUCUUAGCAACAGUAAUAAUAAAACAGUAAGCAGUUGCCCAGGCUCAG
rnacentral:lncRNA from 1 species